GACGAACGCUGGCGGCGUGCUUAACACAUGCAAGUCGAACGGAAAGGCCCUGCUUGCAGGGUACUCGAGUGGCGAACGGGUGAGUAACACGUGGGAGUUCUGUGCUGCACUUCGGGAUAAGCCUGGGAAACUGGGUCUAAUACCGGAUAGGAGCCAUCCUGAGUGUGGUGGUGGGUAGGUUAUUUGGGUGGAGGGUGAGCUCGCGGCCGAUCAGCUUGUUGGUGGGGUAAUGGCCUACCAAGGCGGCGAUGGGUAGGCGGCCUGUGAGGGUGUGCGGCCACAUAGUGACUGAGAUACAGCGCAGAGUCCUACGCGGGGGAGCAGUGUGGAGUAUAGCGCAAUAGGCGCGGACCUGAUGCGGCGAAGCCGCGUGGGGGAUGUAGGCCUUCGGGUUGUGUACUCCGUUCGCUAGUGACGAGGCGUUUUUGUGACGGUACCUAGAAAAGAAGCACCGGCUAACUACGUG
rnacentral:rRNA from 1 species